GCAUAAUGCUAGGGGAGCUCUUGUGGCUGAGAUGUAUUUAUACAACCCUCAUAACUUGAACUGGUUAAAACCAGCGUAAGGAAGCACAUGUUUGUACAU
rnacentral:ncRNA from 2 species